CGGACGGGCGGAUACUUGUUGCGAGCCAUACCGGAGCUGUCAGAUGUUGCGCACAGCCUUCAGUCUACUGUCAGACUACCCAGACUAAUCCAGCAGACAAACAACUCGGAAGAUUAACCUCUUUUAGCCUCACGUUUAGAGAAACUAGUUUUUGUCUUCACACCGAGAAGCCUGCUUUUUUUUAACACGAUCAUUUUUUUUGUCACAUGGCUUUAGAGAAUUCAAAACAACAAAAAAUGGCGACACUCACGUUGCACUGUGUGCUCUUGCUGCGUCAUAAAAAAUAUUCAUGUAAACACGGGGAGUUAAACGGGAAAAUGCCAGGGCCCUGAGCAGCGGGGAUAAUGGAGUUGUUUACAUGAAGUGCGGAGGGCGGACUGGCGAGGAGGAGGAGACGCUACGUCGGCCAGAGACGCCACGGGACUGCACGAGAGGCUGCUUGCGCCGAGGGGGGCGGAGCCCACGAGAGGAAUCAUAACAAGUCUGACGUCACUCGGCCUUGUGGUUGGUAUUAAUAAUAUACUGUAGUUUGUCUCGAUCUGGUCUUAGCAGGAAAGAGGCUCGGAAAAAAGUUUUCGUACCCGUAGUUAUUUUAUGAGAUGAAAAAUUAACGAGCCCUCUGCGUACCAGUGGAAACAAAGAAAUAAUGACAAUAUUUUCACAUGGAAAUAGUUACGAAAUAACUAGACGCUAGCGUGUUAAAUACAUAAAAGCAAGCUGUACAUGUUGUUUUAUUCACAGAUUCACAGCCAGUAGGUCAUAGGGUACACAUUGCAUGUGCAGGGUUGUCCUUUCAUGACUGUCCCACCUUUGCAGUUAUAGGUUUCAUCAUAUAAUGAACAUCAGAAUCUGUUUUUGCAGACCAAAUUAACUGUUUUGCAAAUAUUGCAUUUACCCCAAAAGACCAAAUUCUUGUGUAAAAUACAACAUCAUGUAUCAGUCCUGAUUUAAGGGCAAAAUAGCUUUCUCCAUUAACUUGCAAGUCUCACUGAUGAACCGAUAUCUCUGUUCAUGAAUAAAGGAAUCCUGGAUAAUCAGGAUUAUAUUAUCCUGCAUAGUGACUGUUUUUAAUGUUCCUAUUAUGAAACUAUGGAAAGUAGUUUAGGUUUUUCACUCUACUUUGUAAAAACAUGUUGUAGUGGUAUUAUUGUAUCCUCAAAGAUGUUAUUGAAUUUGUAUCAUAUAAAAUAUACUGUGCUGCUAAUCACUGAUGGAAAGGAUGUAAAAAAAAAACCAUUUGUAUUCACAGAGAAGGGUUGUAAGGUUGCAUUUCCCUACAACUCGAUUAUUCUGUUCUUAUAUUAUCUAUUGUAUGUUCAGUAUUUAUAUUGUAAGAAUGAAAUGAUGAAGAAACAACACACGAAGAAGCCACAGACUGCUAGAGUUUUCAGGCUGCCCUGGUUCAGUUAUCACAGUGCUGAUGCUGUCCCCAUCGAAGGUACAGUACUGUGAUAACUGAAGGAUGGCUGCCAACUUGACACGAGUGCAGUUAUUCAAAGCGUGUUCAGCUAACCAGCCAGAGGACCAAUGAGAAGAUGGACAAGUGUGAGUAUGUUAAUAAACAAACAUAUUAUUUUUAAUCUUUAAGUAUCCAGAAUACGGGUGAUUUAUUUUAAAAUAAUUAUUCUCCCUUAUUAAAUAUAGCAGUAGAUUGUUGCAUGUUGCAGGCUGUUGUUUCUUUAAAAAAAAUCCCAGUUUAUCGUAUUGUGUUUUUUUAAAGUUUUGGAAGCAUUACACUCAAAACCUGUAAAUAAUUGUAUUAUCUUCUCUUUUUAUGUAACUUUUGCUAACUAAAAUAAAGUGAUGUUUGUUUAAAUUAAA